GAUCCUGGCUCAGGAUGAACGCUAGCUACAGGCUUAACACAUGCAAGUCGAGGGGCAGCAUUAUCGAAGCUUGCUUUGAUAGAUGGCGACCGGCGCACGGGUGAGUAACGCGUAUCCAACCUUCCCCUGUCCACGGGAUAGCCCGUCGAAAGGCGGAUUAAUACCGUAUGAGGUCACACGAUGGCAUCAGACUGUGACGAAAGGUUUGGCGGACAGGGAUGGGGAUGCGUCCGAUUAGGUAGUCGGCGGGGUAACGGCCCACCGAGCCGACGAUCGGUAGGGGUUCUGAGAGGAAGGUCCCCCACAUUGGAACUGAGACACGGUCCAAACUCCUACGGGAGGCAGCAGUGAGGAAUAUUGGUCAAUGGGCGCGAGCCUGAACCAGCCAAGUAGCGUGCAGGAUGACGGCCCUAUGGGUUGUAAACUGCUUUUAUGCGGGGAUAAAGUGAGGGAUGUAUCCCUUUUUGCAGGUACCGCAUGAAUAAGGACCGGCUAAUUCCGUG
rnacentral:rRNA from 1 species